UACGUAGGGUGCGAGCGUUGUCCGGAAUUAUUGGGCGUAAAGGGCUCGUAGGCGGUUUGUCGCGUCGGGAGUGAAAUCCACUGGCUUAACUGGUGGCUUGCUUUCGAUACGGGCAGACUGGAGGUAUGCAGGGGAGAACGGAAUUCCUGGUGUAGCGGUGAAAUGCGCAGAUAUCAGGAGGAACACCGGUGGCGAAGGCGGUUCUCUGGCCUGAUUCUGACGCUGAGGAGCGAAAGCCAGGGGAGCGAACGGG
rnacentral:rRNA from 1 species